rnacentral:lncRNA from 1 species
CAGGCCGCCCACCUCGAGGGCUGACCACCCUCGUCUUUCACACUGCUACGGUGCUCGUUGUUCGGAUCCGUGAGUCGACCAGAACCCCAGCAUCACUACCACACUGCAAUUUGCUUCUGCCUCAAUGAUGAACAGAUUAGCACAGCGCACCAUCGAGCCACAGCCAGGAAGUGGCCUGAAACCUCAUGCAGGACCUGAGCAACCCAAGCAGGGUCCCGCCGUCCCUCACUUCCGGAUGACACAGAGGGAGAUGAAGUUGAAGCAGACAGCCCACGAGCCUGUGGUCAUGUCAUCCUCAGCUCAGGCCAGGUGCUGAGGACACAGCGGUGAACAUGGCAGAGCCACCUCUGCCCUCUGGGACCCUGAAGCAGGGAAGUGAGAUACAUGGAGACACCUAAGACCAGGUGCACCAAGGGUGUCCCGCCGAGAGGCAGGUGUACUUAGGGUCACACACUCCAGGUCACUGCAGAGCUGAGAAUCAAACACAAACAGGGUCGAAGAGUAGGUCCCAGCCUAGAGAACUGAGGACUAAUUUCACUCAGAAUAAACUAUCAACAAAGGAAAAAAUGAAAAUAAAUGAUCACAUUCACACUGACAACCACAUUAUUUAAAAGGUGGCUACAUCUUCAGGUAGAUGAAAAAGAAAAUUUAAAAAUAUGCAUCAAAGUGUUAAUGGUG